rnacentral:rRNA from 1 species
UACGGGGGGAGCAAGCGUUGUUCGGAAUAACUGGGCUUAAAGGGCGCGUAGGCGGGCCGCCAAGUUCGAGGUGAAAUCCUCCGGCUCAACCGGAGAACUGCCUCGAAUACUGGAGGUCUCGAGGGUGGUAGGGGCAUGCGGAACUGUGGGUGGAGCGGUGAAAUGCGUUGAUAUCCACAGGAACUCCGGUGGCGAAGGCGGCAUGCUGGACCACAUCUGACGCUGGAGGCGCGAAAGCCAGGGGAGCAAACGGG